GUAACGGUCACCGCAAGGUUUUUGGCGUAAAUCGCCAAACAGUCUUUUGCGGUUCGCUCGUCGAGCCGCAACCGGCAACGCCGGAUGUGCUAGCAGGCCGGUAUUGAUACUGGC
rfam:Pseudomonas agarici strain NCPPB 2472 genome.